UAUGAAAGAUACAGGUUUUCUGCAGAUGGCAUCAGGUAUCUAUGCAGACUACUGGGUCCCAGGAUUAAGCACCGCACUGCACGGAGCCAUGCACUGAGUGUGGAGCAAAUGGUUUGUGUGGCCUUGCGCUUUUUUGCUAGUGGAGCCUUCCUGUACUCAGUGGGGGAUGCAGAACAGCUGAACAAGGCCACAAUUUGCCGCACAAUAAGGAGUGUGUGUCUGGCUAUCAAAGCAUUAGCAGAUGUCUUCAUCUCCUUCCCUGGCCACAGAAGACUCUGUGACAUCAAAGAGGAGUUCUAUAGGAUUGCAGGUUUCCCCAAUGUCAUUGGUGCAGUGGACUGCACACACAUAAGGAUAAAAACCCCCCUCAGGUGCCCAUGAGGCCGAUUUUGUGAAUAGGAAAUCCUUUCACAGCAUUAAUGUUCAGAUGGUCUGCAAUGCUGACUGUGUGAUCAGCAAUGUUGUGGCAAAAUGGCCUGGCUCAGUCCAUGACUCCAGAUUCUUUCGGGCCUCUGAAAUCUAUCAGUGCCUAUCACAAGGUGAAUUCUCUGGUGUGUUGCUGGGAGACAGGGGGUAUGGCUGCCAGCCUUUUCUCCUGACACCUUUCACAGACCCCCAGGAAACACAGCAGGCCUACAACCAUGCCCAUGCCAGGACCAGGGCCAGAGUUGAAAUGACCUUUGGCCUCCUGAAGGCACGCUUUCACUGCCUUCACAAAUUAAGGGUCAGCCCUGUUAGGGCAUGUGAUAUUACUGUGGCUUGUGCUGUCCUCCACAAUGUGGCCUGCCUGAGGAAGGAGAGGGCCCCCAGAGUGCCACCAGCCAUGGACUGGGACAAUCCGGCAAUCUUCCCUGAUGACGACAGUGGUCGGCUGCUGAGGGACCAAUAUGUGUUGAAUUAUUUUAGUUAGUAUGUGUGCUUUCAAUUUUGGUUAAAUAUGUCCUGCGGUGGCAGAGGAAUUUGGUUUUUUUUUGGGUUCGUUUUUUUUUACGAAUUUGGCCUCUUAUGAUGUUUGUGCGGUAUACUGUGUGUAAUACAAGGCUGCAGGGAGGCUACUGCAUCCAUUCAUUUGUCUGUUCAGUUGAUGUGUAUGGAUUUGUGCAGACAUGCAGGGUGUGUUAUAUACAGACCUUUGAAUGUGUAUGUAUCAUUGUGUAUAAUAUGCUUGGAUUCUGUGCUUUCCAUCUUGUAGAGUCACUGUGACUUCAGUUUCGAAAGGAGCUGAUGGUUUACCUGCUUUGUUUUGUCCUUAUUCAAUAAAGGAACAUAAUGUUA